ACAGAAGAUGCUGAUUGACUAGAUGAGUGCAGCCUUAGCAGUGACACAUCUGAAGAUGGCUGUGGUGUGAUCGUUUGUGGCACAUUCUCCAUCCAGAGAAGAAAAGCGGUCCAUAGGCCGGGUGAAUGGUGCUUUAACAGCGCCAACAACCUCUUCAUAGGUGAAAGUGGAACUGACAAUAGCCUGGAUUUGUUAAGCAUUAGCACUGACAUAUCUUCAACUGAGGAACGAAGUGGCGCUUGGCAGAAUGGUCCUGCUAGAGAAACAUGUGCAUGUACAGAUUGCAUGAACAUGUACGCAGCAGGGCCUUCAAUGAGCCUGGAGGCGCAGAGUGACAAAGAGGCAACUCCUGUAGACACUGUGGAGAACAGCACAGAAAAACAUACCAGAUUGAAGAAGAUGAUGAAAGGGAUCUCUUCAUUUUUCAAGAAAACAUGGAAGGCCUUUAAGUGGCCCUCCUUCUGCUGCUGCAAGACCAGAGUUGAGCCAUUUGUGCCUCUACAAGAGGACUCAGAGCCGGACCCAGAGCCAGCUGAUCCCAAACCACACUUUGUUGCAGAGCCAUUUGGUUGCAGGCCAACUGAUGAUUUUCGACAGUUUGACUAUGAAAUGGUAAUGAUAGAAUCAGGGAGCUUUGGAUUUCUGUGAAAUGAUUUCAACUAAUGGUGCCACUGUGAAGGCAGCAGAAACCUCAAGCCCAUCACAUCAGGAUCAGAGAGCUCAGACCAGCCUUCGUCUGCCAGCCUGAACAAAUUAAUAUUAAUAUUAAUGAUUUGUAUACACUAUAUGCACAUGCACAAGUAGACUUGUGCCUGAAGUAGCAUGGUUGAAUGGCCAAAGCAGUGCAAAGUUUCUAGCAGUAUUUAGCUCUUAAUAUAAUUUUUCAAAUGAUUUUAAAGGUAAAAUGUGUUUUAAAGGCAAAUGAUAUAUGAAAAUGUAUACAUUUUAAUUACACUGUAUAAUUUUAUGAAUUAUUUUUAAGCCAGUAUUUGUAACCGAAGGAAUCUCAUAGUUUAUUGCUAUUAUGACUUUACAUGAAAGUAAUCCAUUUACAUAAUGAUGUUUAAAAUGUAAUAAAAAAUAUUUAUAAAUGUAAAAACUCCCUUUCUCUCUUACUUUUGGCUGCUCUAAAUGGCAUUACCGACUAGAUACAAUACUGUACACAUACUCAAUUUUUUUAAAUGGCGUUUAUCCCGUUUCGGAACCAAACUCGUCAUAUCUUCUUUUAUGUUUAACAAAACCGUAUUUUUAUGGUAAAAUUCUGGCAACCACAGUACAGAUUCACAGAUUUUAUUACAGUAUAGGCGUAAUAAAGCGUUGUGCUUUUUAAAAGCGCUAACAGACUGAAAAGUUGUUUUACUUGUUAAAUUCUGCCGCGUUUUUGCAUCAUAUUACACUCCGUUAUUAUCUGCUGAACUUCAAAUAAUACCUGAGCGCUGGCGGCCUAAUUGACUCCUCCCCUCAAACACACGGUUUAACCAUAUUAUUAUUAUUAUUUUUUUGUGUGUGUGUUUCGGUUUUUCAUUUAUUUAUACAAUCAAAGUGACACUGAUACUGUUAAAAAAUACAGGAAAAUCAUUAACUGUCGGUGCUAUGUUAAUAUUCAUAAAAGGUGUUUUUGUUCCUGCCGGUAGCCUGAGCCAAUCACCACCAGGCUGAAUGACGAGCGUCAGGUAACGUAAUUAAUAUUCAUAAUAAAACCUUUUUCUCAUAGUAGGAUUGGUCAGAUCCGCAACCCGGAAGUCUAAUUUAGAAAUGUUUGUCUGGGCCCUUUGGCUUUAUG
rnacentral:lncRNA from 1 species